rnacentral:sRNA from 1 species
GCUGGGCAUGGUGGCAAGUGCCUGUAAUCCUAGCUACUCAGGAGGCUGAGGCAGGAAGAUCGCUUGAACCUGGGAGGUGGAGGUUGCAGUGAAUCAAGAUUGCACCACUGCACUCCAGCCUGGGUGAUAGAGCUAGAUUCCUCACAAAAAAAUCUGAAAUUCUGAAGGUGGAGUUUGACCCUAGGCUAGAGUGCAGUUGUGUAAUCUCAGCUCACUGCAACCUUCACCUCCAGUGUUCAAGUGAUUCUCCUGCCUCA